GUGAAUUAAACAUGCUUGGUGUCUUCGCUUCGGCAAGGCCCUUGCUUAAAUCACAUCCUAGCACCUGUGAACUGUAAGACGUAUGAUGAGGUCUUUGGCCAAGUCAUCGUCUGCCCAUUUUUAACAAACAAUUAAUGUAACAAACGUAGUCUUAUUAUAACCUAAUA
rnacentral:misc_RNA from 1 species